rnacentral:rRNA from 1 species
GAAUAUUGCACAAUGAGCGAAAGCUUGAUGCAGCGACGCCGCGUGAGGGAUGACGGCUUUCGGGUUGUAAACCUCUUUCGGUAGGGAACAAGGCCAUGUUUUUGCAUGGUUGAGGGUACCUGUAUAAGAAGCGCCGGCUAACUACGUGCCAGCAGCCGCGGUAAUACGUAGGGCGCGAGCGUUGUCCGGAAUUAUUGGGCGUAAAGGGCUCGUAGGCGGCUUGUCACGUCUGCUGUGAAAACGCGGGGCUUAACUCCGCGCUUGCAAUGGGUACGGGCAGGCUUGAGUAUAGUAGGGGAGACUGGAAUUCCUGGUGUAGCGGUGGAAUGCGCAGAUAUCAGGAGGAACACCGAUGGCGAAGGCAGGUCUCUGGGCUAUAACUGACGCUGAGGAGCGAAAGCAUGGGGAGCGAACAGG